CCCCCCCCUAGCACAAGGGAACACACUGAGGAGCAGGAGCCAGAGCUGGGACUUUGGAGCACCACCCAGCUGAACAGAGAUUGGUCCCUGGAUCCAUUACACCAGACUCAAGCCUGCAGCUGUGGACUGGGAGUGCACUCCAGACCCUGCUACAACCUUGCAGCUGACCAUCCGGAGGAAGGAAACACUGGAGAAGUUUGAGGAUCAGAAGGACAACAGCCCUGCUCCAGCCACUCGGGGGGCUGGCUGAUCAACGCACGGCGGAAGAUAGACUUACCACCAGGACAAAUGGACUCUUUCAGCCUCUAAGAUACUUCUUAUACUGUAAUGCAUUGCUACCCCUUGCUUCUAGGUGUAUACAUAGUUCUCUGCUUGUUUUUUGCUAUUGGUUUGAUGAUAGUAACUCCCACUGACUGGACUUUUGGUAACAAAACUUCAUUUAUACUUUUUUACCUUGCUUAUAUGGGAUUUCUAGGGUUUAUUUGGUGUUAUUAGUUUGGCUUUGUUAACUUAUACCCUUUAACCUAUGCAAUCCAAAAUGUUGGUCUAUCACUCAGUUGGGUUUCCUUUGAUACUCUUAGGGGACUCUGCCCUACUCCUGCCCCAACAGUGGAGAUCAUGUGAACCGUGUGUCAAGCCGAUCAAGGUGAUAGAUAACACAUAUUUAUAAAAAAUAAAAUAAAAUAAAAUAAAAAACAACCUCUCCCAAAACAAAAAUAAAACAAAACAAAAAUGAAUCCAUGAAAACAUUCCUAUUUUGCCCUAGAGACAUGGAAACACAAAUAUCAACAUGGUGGCUUUGAGACCACCACUUAUAAAGACUCUAUGGUGGAAUACACGUAUAGCUCUCUGGGAGACUAUAUAUAUGCUUGAGCUCAUGAAUACAUGUUUGUGCAUAUGGCUAAUGAGGAUUUCAUGAAACUCGUUAUGAUGUGUUAAAUUAAUAUCAAGAUCACACUAGUGUCCUUAGAGCAAUUUUUAUCUUUUAAUCAACUUUUAUAAUUUUUCCACAUAAGUGCUUUUCUUUUUAUAUGACAUGAGUUUCUUGAGGAAGUGAGUGUUGUUUUCUCAUUGUUAUAAUUAAGAUCUGGAAUAUCCCCCAAAGACAGAUGUGGCGAAGACUUGGUCCCCAAUUAAAAAAUGUUCAGAGGUGAGGCUUUUGGGAAGUGACUGAAUCAUGAAGACUCUAAUCCCAUCAGUAGACAAUCCAUCGAUGGAUUCACAAUUUGAAUGGACUCUCAGUAGGUGGUGGAAAUUAUAGGAGGUGGGACCUAAUAGAAGGGAAUGGAUCCUUGGUACAGUGCUCUUGGCCUUUGUGUUCUCUCUCUCUCUCUCUCUCUCUCUCUCUCUCUCUCUCUCUCUCUCCUUCCUGGCCACCAUGAGGUGAGCAGCUCAGAUCCAUCAUGCCUUCUAUGCCCUGCUACUCUGUACUCUGACUCAGUACAGACCCACAGCAAUGGAACCAGCCAACCAUGGACUGAAACUUCUGAAACCAUGAACCAAAAUAAUUCUGUCCUCUUUAACUUGAUUUUCUCAGGUAUUUUGUCAUAGUGACAAAAGGUUAACUUAGAACAAAGUAAACAAUAUGUGUUCAAUGUAUUUUAGAUUAAUUAGUAAAAAUGAAUGCAUGGGAGAAUGAAA